AGUGAACGCUGGCGGCAGGCCUAACACAUGCAAGUCGAACGGCAGCACAGUAAGAGCUUGCUCUUACGGGUGGCGAGUGGCGGACGGGUGAGGAAUACAUCGGAAUCUACUUUUUCGUGGGGGAUAACGUAGGGAAACUUACGCUAAUACCGCAUAUGACCUACGGGUGAAAGCAGGGGAUCUUCGCACCUUGCGCGAUUGAAUGAGCCGAUGUCGGAUUAGCUAGUUGGCGGGGUAAAGGCCCACCAAGGCGACGAUCCGUAGCUGGUCUGAGAGGAUGAUCAGCCACACUGGAACUGAGACACGGUCCAGACUCCUACGGGAGGCAGCAGUGGGGAAUAUUGGACAAUGGGCGCAAGCCUGAUCCAGCCAUACCGCGUGGGUGAAGAAGGCCUUCGGGUUGUAAAGCCCUUUUGUUGGGAAAGAAAAGCAGCAGAUUAAUACCCCGCUGUUCUGACGGUACCCAAAGAAUAAGCACCGGCUAACUUCGUG
rnacentral:rRNA from 1 species